rnacentral:lncRNA from 1 species
GGCUUGUUUCGACUCCUCAGUUGCUCGAUUAACUUCCUACUUGUUCAAUUCUAUGACCUUUUCCUAUUAUUCAUUACUGGUUUUCCUAUUCUUCAUCAUUGGUGCCACAUAAUUUAGGCUCAUUCCUUUAGCUGAUAGGCAACUGGUAUCAAAGAAGUUCACCCAUUUCUUAGUAGGCUUUGUAUUCAGAUCUAGCUUUCUCUGUGUAUUUUCUUACAUCCUA